CUAGCGACAGGCUUAACACAUGCAAGUCGAGGGGCAGCACGGGAGUAGCAAGUACAACUGGUGGCGACCGGCGCACGGGUGAGUAACGCGUAUGCAACCUACCUAUCGAGAGGGGAAUAACCCGGCGAAAGUCGGACUAAUACCGACAUAAAACAGGGGCACCGCAUGGUGAUAUUUGUUAAAGAGAUUCGCUGAUAGAUGGGCAUGCGUUCCAUUAGGUAGUUGGUGAGGUAACGGCUCACCAAGCCGACGAUGGAUAGGGGAACUGAGAGGUUGGUCCCCCACACUGGUACUGAGACACGGACCAGACUCCUACGGGAGGCAGCAGUGAGGAAUAUUGGUCAAUGGGCGGGAGCCUGAACCAGCCAAGUCGCGUGAAAGGAAGAAGGAUCUAUGGUUCGUAAACUUCUUUUGCAGGGGAAUAAAGUGCAGGACGUGUCCUGUUUUGUAUGUACCCUGAGAAUAAGGAUCGGCUAACUCCGUGCCAGCCGCAGC
rnacentral:rRNA from 1 species